GGUUACGUAGCUCAAUUGGAUAGAGCACCUGACUACGGAUCAGGAGGUUUGGGGUUCGAAUCCCUACGUGACCACAA
rnacentral:tRNA from 1 species